AAUAGAUACCCGGGUAGUCCACGCCGUAAACGAUGUCGACUUGGAGGUUGUGCCCUUGAGGCGUGGCUUCCGGAGCUAACGCGUUAAGUCGACCGCCUGGGGAGUACGGCCGCAAGGUUAAAACUCAAAUGAAUUGACGGGGGCCCGCACAAGCGGUGGAGCAUGUGGUUUAAUUCGAUGCAACGCGAAGAACCUUACCUACUCUUGACAUCCACGGAAUUUAGCAGAGAUGCUUUAGUGCCUUCGGGAACCGUGAGACAGGUGCUGCAUGGCUGUCGUCAGCUCGUGUUGUGAAAUGUUGGGUUAAGUCCCGCAACGAGCGCAACCCUUAUCCUUUGUUGCCAGCGAUUCGGUCGGGAACUCAAAGGAGACUGCCAGUGAUAAACUGGAGGAAGGUGGGGAUGACGUCAAGUCAUCAUGGCCCUUACGAGUAGGGCUACACACGUGCUACAAUGGCAUAUACAAAGAGAAGCGACCUCGCGAGAGCAAGCGGACCUCAUAAAGUAUGUCGUAGUCCGGAUUGGAGU
rnacentral:rRNA from 1 species